GAUCCUGGCUCAGAAUGAACGCUUGGCGGCAUGGAUUAGGCAUGCAAGUCGAACGGUAACAGAGGAGCUUGCUCCUGCUGACGAGUGGCGAAAGGGUGAGUAACCCGUGAGCAACCUGCCUCGAAGUUUGGGAUAGCCCCGGGAAACUGGGAUUAAUACCGAAUGUGAAUAUUUUCUCGCAUGGGAUUAUAUUUAAAAAUUUAUUGCUUGAGGAUGGGCUCGCGUACCAUUAGCUAGUUGGUGUGGUAACGGCAUACCAAGGCUACGAUGGUUAGGUGGAUUGAGAGAUCGGUCACCCACACUGGGACUGAGACACUGCCCAGACUCCUACGGGAGGCUGCAGUCGAGAAUCUUCCGCAAUGCGCGAAAGCGUGACGGAGCAAUGCCGCGUGGUGGAUGAAGGCCUUAGGGUUGUAAACACCUGUCACAUGGGACGAAUUUUGACGGUACCAUGAGAGGAAGCCACGGCUAACUACGUGCCAGCAGCCGCGGUAAUACGUAGGUGGCGAGCGUUGUUCGGAUUUAUUGGGCGUAAAGGGUCCGCAGGGGGUUGUGUAAGUCUGAAGUGAAAUCCCGUGGCUCAACCACGGAACUGCUUUGGAUACUGCACGACUAGAGUACUGGAGAGGCAAGCAGAAUUCCUGGUGUAGCGGUGGAAUGCGUAGAUAUCAGGAGGAACACCGAUGGCGAAGGCAGCUUGCUGGACAAUUACUGACGCUGAGGAACGAAAGCUAGGGGAGCAAACAGGAUUAGAUACCCUGGUAGUCCUAGCUGUAAACGUUGUUCACUAGAUGUAGGCGGAUUGGUCCCGUCUGUGUCCAAGCUAACGUGAUAAGUGAACCGCCUGGGGAGUACGGCCGCAAGGCUAAAACUCAAAGGAAUUGACGGGGGCCCGCACAAGCGGUGGAGCAUGUGGCUUAAUUCGAGGCAACGCGAAGAACCUUACCUGGGUUUGACAUAUAUAUGCCCGCCAUGGAAACAUGGUUUUUCUUAGGAACAUAUAUACAGAUGCUGCAUGGCUGUCGUCAGCUCGUGCCGUGAGGUGUUCGGUUAAGUCCGGCAACGAGCGCAACCCAUGCUGUUAGUUACCAGCGAGUAAUGUCGGGAACUCUAGCAGGACUGCCCGUGCUAAGCGGGAGGAAGGCGUGGACGACGUCAAGUCCGUAUGGCUCUUACGCCCAGGGCUGCACACGUGCUACAAUGGCUGGUACAAUGGGCUGCCACCCCGCGAGGAGGCGCUAAUCCCCAAAACCGGCCCCAGUUCGGAUUGUAGUCUGCAACUCGACUACAUGAAGUCGGAAUCGCUAGUAAAGGCGUAUCAGCAACGACGCCUUGAAUACGUUCCCGGGCCUUGUACACACCGCCCGUCACAUCAUGGAAGCCUGUUGCACCCGAAGUCGCUGACCCAACCCGCAAGGGAGGGAGGUGCCUAAGGUGUGGCUGGUAACUGGGAUGAAGUCGUA
rnacentral:rRNA from 1 species